GACGAACGCUGGCGGCGUGCUUAACACAUGCAAGUCGAACGGACAGGCCCUGCUUUUGUGGGGUGCUCGAGUGGCGAACGGGUGAGUAACACGUGAGUAACCUGCCCUUGACUUUGGGAUAACUUCAGGCAACUGGGGCUCAUACCGGAUAGGAGCUCCUGCUGCAUGGUGGGGGUUGGAAAGUUUCGGCGGUUGGGGAUGGACUCGCGGCUUAUCAGCUUGUUGGUGGGGUAGUGGCUUACCAAGGCUUGGACGGGUAGCCGGCCUGAGAGGGUGGCCGGCCACAUUGGGACUGGGAUGCGGCCCAGACUACUACGGGAGGCAGCAGUGGGGAAUGGAGUACAAUGGGCGGAGGCCUGAUGCAGCAACGCCGCGUGCGGUAUGUCGGCCAUCGGGUUGUAAACCACAUUCGCCUGUGACGAAGCGUGAGUGACGGUAAUGGGUAAAGAAGCACCGGCUAACUACGUG
rnacentral:rRNA from 1 species